CCAUCUCUUCUCUCUUUUCACUCCCAUUUUUCAUUUUCUUCAAGAGAGUUUCACAUGGCUUUGAGAGCAGCCCCAGUUGGCCACACUAGGAGUUUUCAGCUUGGUUUUCAUGGCAAAAAGCAAACAUUGAAGGAGGGAAAAAGUGAUUUGUGCAUCGGAGAACCACUGGAAACGACUUAGGAUUUCUUAUCCCUUCAAUCUUUUAUUUUUGUUCAAUUCAAGAAACAUGAUUGCAACUAAGUUUUCUUAUUUUAAUAAAAUU
rnacentral:lncRNA from 1 species